AAAAAUAGAUUAGAAUAAAUUUACACUGGGAAUUUCUUUUUUCCGAGGACGUGUCAGUGACAGGGUUCUAAAUAAAGAUUUACUUGCCUAUAUAUGAUAAAAUAAAACAAAUAAGUUGGCAAAACAACACACAAAAGACGAUGAGAAGGCGCAAUAAUCGUAGAGAAAGUAUACACAGAGAAGUGAGAUGCUUUGGAUAUUUUCGUUGUAGAUGUUGUGACCAUGAAUGGACAAGCUCAUUUGUCUGGAAAAUGUCUGGAACGUUAAAGGUUCUAUAUAAACAACAGUGCAUGGAGUGUGAUGAACUUAUGGGGCCAUACAAAACAACACCUCUUAUUUGUUCCGGUUGCGGGAUGGUGAAUUGUGAGUGUGAAGAGGUCAAUUCUGAACCGAAAAAGCCGCACCUGUCAGAGUUAUGUGAAAGGUGUCAGUCAGGAAAAAAAUGUCAAUUAUCACUAGAAAAAUGUAUCUUCCCUUGUUCUAAGCGUGGUGGAAGAAGAUAUCGCCAUUGAUGUUAGCAUCUAAAACACAUUUACAAUAUAUUGGAAAUGUUUAUUAAAUUAUUUGUUUCUUAUCAAAUAUUAUAUCACCUUAAUAAUAAGUCAGGUUUUGGACUCGAGCAUCACUGAAGAGACGCUAAUUGUCGCAACGCGCAUCUGGUUUAGUACCAUUGGUACCGUUUAUGGUAGCAUUAAUAGCAUUAAUUUUCCAUCCGCCGUCUGUCUUUUCACCAUUUCAUUUGAAAAUACUGGGCUAAUUCAAUCUAAACUGAAUCCAGAUAAAACAAGUGGCUUUCUUUAAAAAAAGAAAAGCAAUACCUGAACCUAAGACCGCUGACUGGUCACCAAAAGACUGUUGCUGAAUUUUUAUUUGCUUUUGAAUUGAAAUAGUUGACUGUGAAUAGAAGGAGAUAAUGAUGAAGUUAAACUACCUUUAUUAAAAAUAUGUAAUAGUGUGUACAUUCUUGCACAAGUCAGUUGAAAGCAAUGUUGGAUAGGUGUGAAUAGAAAAGUGUAUAUACAGCUACUAUUUGAAUAUACAUUUUAAAGCUCGACUAUUUCAUUUAUUACUUGGGAUUGUACAUCAUUUCUUUAUAAUUCUAUUGCAAAUCCCAGUUUCUACAAGUGUAUAAUGCAAAUUGCACAAACCAAUCGCAAUAUAAAUGUAAGCACUCAGUUUGUUUAUAAUCUUGAUGCAUUUAUUUUAUCUAUCACAUCUUUAUAUUUUGUUUCCUGCAUGGAUGCCUUCAUAUUCUCAACUCGUUAUUGAAGUUGUCUGUACUCAUGGUAGAUGUUGUACAGAUAAAUUUAGUCCAUUUUCCAUGUGAAGUGAAACCCUGUGGCAUGCAACUUAUAUCUCAAAAGAACCAAUUUAUAUAAAAAGACAUGUAGAUAUAAAAAAAAAUACCAGGAUUAACAUGUUGUACGCCAGACGCGAGUUAAGUCUACAAAGAAUCAUCAGUGACGCUCGAAUAAAAAUAGUUAAAAAGGCCAAUUAAAGUACGAAGUUAAGUAAUCUAUUCCUUGGGUAGAAAAUACUUGGCAUUUCGAUAAUGUCAAUGUUUAUAAAAGGACAGUGACUCAAAAAAGAAAACAAAAGAGAAACAGCUAGAGGUCAGAAUACCGUAAGUAAUGAUGACCGUGCUUGAAAGUCACAUGGCAAGCUUUUACUGCCGUGUCCUGAAUUUAGAUAAGAAAAGCGAAAAUUCGCAAUCGCGAGUGAAAUUAAUAUUUAUGCAUGAACAUGGUAUUUUUGCGCAAGAAAUAGUAAAUAGAAAGCAUACGCACUGAUACUCUGGAUAAGAAUACGCAUUUGCGUCAUCACAUAUUUUAAUCUAAUAGUUGAAUUCGGAUGUCAAACUUCCUACCUCAAGUGUUUUGACUCCGGAUUCAUUGACAUUUUAUCCGGAAUUUUUGUGAACGCAAACCGAUAGUGUGCGUGUUAACAGGGUGAUGUAUAAUGUGAAAGAAUCAAGACGUGUAGGAUAGCUGACCAACACAAUGAAUACAAUUUUAAAAACCGUACCAUAGUACAAAUAUUAAGAUGCUAUAAGGUUGAACUAAUAAAAGAAAAAAAAAAAAGAAACAAAAAUAAUUAACAUUAUGAUAGUAAUUAAAUUUUGUUAUGAUUAUUGUAAAAUAUUAAUUACGUUUUUUGUGAGAUGCAAGGAUUUAAAAUCUUUGUGAAUUGAAACCACGCAAGUAUUUUUUCAUUCACGACCGUUUAAAAUUUAGAUCUAACUUUGGGUAUGCAUCCCUGCUCAUAAGUUACAUAUAAUUUUCAUAAAUGUAAUGACUGAUCAAACCUGUGAGACAUAAUGCAGGUAUACAUUACAAUUUUAAUUAUAUUCUAUAAUUAUUAGGAAUAAAUUCAGUCUCAGAUUAACCUUAACAAUAAAUAUUCAAUUAGUCUGGUAGUAUCUAUUAAUGAAAUUAGAUAUUUUUUUACAGAAAAAUCCUUUUGUUUGAUUAUCUUUCUGCUUUCCGACCACUGUGUUUUCGACCUUUAAGUUAGAUAAAUAUGUUUAACAGAAAUAUCGUUUUCUUAAUUUUCUUCAUUCUUUCCGACAUUUUGUCAUGCUAUGAUUGAAAUACUUAAUAUCAAAUGAUAAACGUUCAGAAAUAAUCAGUUUAUUCUGGGUCAUUGUAUAUCAAUAAACUAUUCACAGGUUUAUUAAAUACAACACACACAACGCGUAGAGUGACCGUCUCAAAGCAUGAAUUAUAUAAUUGCGUUAUCAUUAUACUUGAUAUUCAAUAAACAUUCACAUUAUUAAAAACAUAUAUGUUUUGUCAAAAGGCAAAUAGGUUCCAACAUAUAAAUGAUUUUUAGAAUGCAACCUAGUCUUUAUUGUUUGACUUUCAAAUCUACAAAUGAACCGUUUGUCGGAUUGUUGAAAUAUACAAUGUCACGUUGUAGCCUAUCCAUAGAGGGACCGUAUCAAAGACAUAAAUAACUACCUAUAUAAAUGAUGGAAAAUUUUCGAGACUUUCCGAGAGUCGUGAUUCCGAGGAUAUCGAGUGGCCCAUAGACACUUCCAAAACUCGCCAAUAUAUAAACGUGAACCCCUCAGGGGGUUCACGCAAAAAAUGCUUCAGCAGACAGUUGUUUCUUCUGGUUGCUUAUUUUUAAUCUUAUUUUCUUUUUGAACCACGGAGUCAAAUAUUUUCAAACUUCGAUAAAUGAAAAUCCUUUAAAUAUUGUUUAUCUCACCUUGACACUGUUCUUUGAUAUAUGUAUGUUGUGUAUAAGAUGUAAGUUUGUACAAAUUAAAAUUUGUACAGGGUUUUUGUACAAGUUAUAAGUUUUUUGACACACACCUUUUUGCACCGGGUGAUCAAAGUUUAUCUUCUAAAAUUUAUCAGCUCAAUGUCUUAAAUUCAAAUUUAUAACACUUCAAGCUAACAUUUAGUGCUAUACUCCUUGUCCUAAAACGGCUGUCCUAAAACUGGAAAUAAGGACACCUGAAGGGUUUAAAUUCUAUUUGUAUUUGUCUCCUUAUACCAAAGUCAUAUCCAUAAAAAGUCUUUUUUGUGUUCUUAUAAUGUUUUUUGUAGCAAUGCUCAGUAUUAGACUGUGUCAAGUAGUCAUGGAAAUAUGACAGCAAUAUGCGAAACAAAAGAUUGUGUGCUUUUAUCAUCCAUUUGUGUUAAGCGGUUCAUAAAACACUGAUAACUUGUACAAAAAUUCUGUACAAAUUAUAAUUUGUACAACAUUACAAUUUGUACACAACAUAUACAUGGCCGUUACAUAAUCGGGGGUAACCAAUUAUUUCCACUAAACUGAUUAAGUUUAUCACUAACCUUGCAUGUUGUCCUACAGAGUACACUUCAAGAUAAGUUAAGUUUAUAUUGCAGUAGUUGGGGUUUAACAGUAAAUCUUGAAAAAAACAAAAUGAUUUUUAACCAAUUUGGUAAUAAACUUACAAAAGACGAGUUUGUUUUUAAUGAUAAUGUUUUGGAACAUUAUACAGAAUAUAAAUAUUUAGGUAUAGUGUUUAAACCCUCUGGUAUCUUUAUUGAGGCGGUGAGAAUGAUAUAAUUAGAAUUAUUGUAAAAUUCACAAGUGACAUGUACAAUAUUCUAGAAAUGCUUUAUUAAGUAAUAAAUAACUUUGUAGUACCACCUCCUCAGCGGAGACUAGAUUAUACAUAUAUGUAUAUACAAUUAUAUAUAUUAAUGUAACAAUAUUUUCUUUUUUUAAUAAUGGAGGGCGUAUACAAAUUUAUAUAUACAUGUACUGUAUAUAAAUGUUGACAGAUAUGUGUAUGUAAAGUUAUGUAUAGCCAAUGUUUAUUGUCAAAUUUGGUACAAAUCCUAUAAUUUUGAAUUUUAAACCAAUAAAAUAUCUUAUCUUA